AUUGGAAUUAAGACCUCUGUUCUACUUUCAUUGGUUAUAGAUCCAAGAGGUAUGAUUAUAAGGACAGUCGGGGGCAUCAGUAUUCACUGUCAGAGUGAAAUUCUUUGGAUCAGUUGAAGACCUAACUACUGCGAAAGCAUUUGCCAAAGGAUGUUUUCAUUAAUCAGGAACGAAAGUUAGGGGAUCGAAGACGAUCAGAUACCGUCGUAGUCUUAACCAUAAACUAUGCCGACUAGGGAUCGGACGGUGUUAUUCAUGACCCGUUCGGCACCUUACGAGAAAUCAAAGUGCUUGGGCUCCAGGGGGAAGUAUGGUCGCAAGGCUGAAACUUAAAAGAAAUUGACGGAAGGGCACACCAGGGGUGGAGCCUGCGGCUUAAUUUGACUCAACACGGGGAAACUCACCAGGUCCAGACACAAUAAGGAUUGACAGAUUGAGGGCUCUUUCUUGAUUUUAUGGGUGGUGGUGCAUGGCCGUUCUUAGUUGGUGGGGUGACUUGUCUGCUUAAUUGCGAUAACGAACGAGACCUUAACCUGCUAAAUAGCCCGCAUUGCUCCGGCAGUGCGCUGGCUUCUUAGAGGGACUUUCGGCUCAAGCCGAAGGAAGUUUGAGGCAAUAACAGGUCUGUGAUGCCCUUAGAUGUUCUGGGCCCGCACGCGCGCUACACUGACGGGGUCAGCGAGUUCCUUGGCCGAAAGGCCCGGGUAAUCUUGUUAGCCCCCGUCGUGCUGGGGAUAGAGCAUUGCAAUUAUUGCUCUUCAACGAGGAAUCCCUAGUAAGCGCAAGUCAUCAGCUUGCGUUGAUUACGUCCCUGCCCUUUGCACACACCGCCCGUC
rnacentral:rRNA from 1 species